CACACACACACACACACACGUUUCCAUAGAGAGAGGUUCCACUUUGCAUUAGCAGCUCAUGCUUCAGUGCUCUGCGAGUGUUUAUAGCCCUGUGACUUUAACACUUCAUGACUGAGAGCUGCUGCUCAGCGACUUCACCCACAGCAACCAUGAGUUUGAUCAGCGUCUUCAUCUGCACACUGGCCCUCUGCGCUCGAGGAUCCAGAGGUCAGGUGACUGUGACUCAGAGUCCUGCAGUGAAAUCUGUUUCUCCAGGAGACACACUCACCAUCAGCUGUAAAACCAGUCUUGCUGUUUACUCUAGCAGUGGUUUUCAUUUUUUGUCCUGGUAUCAGCAGAAAGCUGGAGAAGCUCCUAAACGCCUGAUCUAUUAUGCUAGCACUAGAGAAUCAGGUAUUCCAGCUCGUUUCAGUGGCAGUGGAUCAGGAUCUGAUUUCACUCUGACCAUCAGUGGAGUCCAGGCUGAAGAUGCUGGAGAUUAUUACUGUCAGAGUGUACAUUCUAUCAGUAGUAGCUAUGUGUUCACACAGUGUUAAAGCAUCGUACAAAAACCUGGGUGAGUGUGACUGCUGCAGCUGGGACCUACUGCAGGUGCUGAGGGGGACGAUGUGAUACAGCACAAUGACACACACUGUGGAAGAAAACACAAACACACACACAAAUCACAUAUUGUUCACAUGAUGUCACAUGUUUAUUUCACCUCACAUCUGCAAUUUCAACCCAAAACAUGUUGAAAAGCACAAAAUUUCAUUAAAAUGCAACAAUCAAAUGUCUCUAUGGAAUGUAUGUGGAAUGCCCCCUAUAAUCU